UUAGUCUUAAGGUGGAGCUUACCAACCUUAAGACUAUUGGAUAGUUCUCUCCCAGUUGGAGCAGACAUUGGGAAUGGGAUCGAUCAAUCCAUCCGUGGCUCUAGUCCAUCCCUGUUGACCAAACCCAACCAUUUGAAACCCAAACGCUCGCCGUUGAAUGGCCGAGAGAAGCAGUGGCAAGGUUGCUCUUUCUGCAGCUGGUUGGUCGGCCGCAAGCAACCUGUUUGUUGAAAUGCUUCACUGAAACUAACUCACUUUGCUUCAUUGCAUGCUCGUGUUUCAUCUACGGCUUAUGCAGCUUGCCAAAUUUUCUCGAAGGCAAGGGGAGUGAAGGAAAAUUGGACAUCUUAAGUAAAAAUGUGGGUUGUGGAGUUGGCAAGUAUUCACGGGGGAAGAUGGGUGAGGGUGAGACGGAGCAUGUUACGAAGAAUUAAUGGUGUUGGCUCCGAUUCGGCAUCUGUGGUUAACAUAGUGUAGAACUAUUUGAAUUUAAGGAAUAGAUGAAAUGUUGCCAUUUCUGUUCUCACUACCAAGAUAAGAAAAAAACAAAAGAUGUAGAUAGCAGUUCGUAGCUCAUUAAACUUAUUCCACUUCUGAAGCAGUUAGCAGUAUUGGAGAUAAAGAUGUUGGCAAUGUGACUUGGCUAAGGAUUUAGCUUGCUUAGUUGAAGAAUCGUCUAAUCUCAACGAGAAGAAACCCAGGACCCUUUUUACGCUUAAGAGGUUAAUGAACUCCGGAUGAAGAAGAGGGUAAAGGAGCAAUAUGUUAACAGGAAGUUUCAAGACCUCAUGCACAAAGUGAUUGCCAAUCUAAAAACACUUCGGGAUGCUUAUGAUUGUAUCAGAGUGAAUCCAAAUAUUGGCCUAGCUAAGGAAAGAGAUUCCAUCUCUUUUGAAUCAUUGGCAGAAGAGCUCAGUUGUGGGAAAUUUGAUGUUAGUGCCAACGUCUUCUCUCUUUUGACAAGGGGUGCACAGAAAGAAGUACUUGUUCUUCCUAACUAAAAUUGGUUGUCCAAGAAGCCAUCAGGAUAGUUUUGGAAUUGAUUUAUAGGCCCCACUUUUCUAAAAUUUUGUAUGGUUGUCGAAGUGGAAGAGGGCCUUUCUCUGCCUUCAAGUACAUACGCUAAGAAAUCUCUAAUCCUAAUUGGUGGUUACAUUACUUAUUAACAAAAAACUUAAUGCUUGUAUCCUUGCUAAGUUCAGUUCCAGUAUGGAGACCAAGAUAGAAGAUCCAAGCUUAUAUGCUAUCAUCCAAAGUGUGUUUGACACAGGUACUCAAUUUGGAGUUCGGGGGUUUUCCAAGAAGCUAUGGCCUUCCACAAGGAGUUUUAUCCCCAAUUCUAUUGAAUAUAUCUCUUGAUCUGUUUGAUCAUGAAUUCUACAAGAUGUUGAUGAGAUAUGAAGCUUUUGAUAUGGAAGUUCAGAAUGAACAGGGUGCUUCCUACUCCAAGCUGCGCAGAUGGUUUAGGGUUUAGAAGACAGAUAAAAGGAAAUAAUAUUGUACAACCUUGUGGGGAGAACUCUAAUGUGAGGAUACAUUGUUGUUGACCUAUGGAUGAGAUAUUUUUUUACUAAUCAGACAGAUAUUAUCGUGUAGUGGUCCCUAUCCUGUUCAAUUUCUUGAAGCUAUAGUUAAAAAAACUGUAAGAGAAAGUCCUGCAGUAAGAGCUGUUCACAAGCUCAGGGAAAACGUAAAGUAAUUCACUUCACAGAAACAAAAGGCUUGGGAUGCUGGGACUGUUAGAAUUGGAAAGAAAUGGCUGGCUCAUGAAUUGAAGGUGGUCGGAUUAUAGUUUUAGAAAAGAUGGGAUGGAAGCAGAUCACUGAUACAAACUUUUAGUAAAGGUAUGGAUGUAAGACAUAAAUGCUAAAUAUGCAGACUCUUGAGGAAUUUAUCUUAUCCAAGCGUAUUGCUGAACCUUUCCUUCCUGAGGAACUAAGAUAUUCAUUUUAUGCAUUUCAGAAGUGGGCAGAAGAAUAUGUUUCUUCUGAGACAGCUUCUACUCUUGCUCUUAUGCCCAAUUCUAGUUUGUCUACUGAAUCUGUUACAAUUACAGAGGUUAUAGCUCCAGUAAACAUUAUAAAGAAGCCUCUCUUACGGUAUGGACUGACAAAUGCCAAAGGAUUUCCCUGUGCAACUCACAAACUUAAUUUACAAGAUAGCAGUCAAAUUGUCGACUGGUAUUCUGGCACAGCUUCCUGAUGGCUUAAGUGGUGUAGUGAAUGUCAGAACUUUGGUGAGAUAAACCUUACCUUUUGUGACCACUUGAGAAAAUCUUGCAUUCAGACACUGGCAGCUAAGUAUCGGAUUCAUGAAACUGAGGUAGAGAAACAAUUUGAUACAGAAUUGGGCAGAUUUCCUUCAACCCAAGAAUUUGAAUAUGAGUUGGCAAAUAAGACCUAGGUUUCUCAAGCUUCUCACAGUGAUGGUACAUUAAGGUAUGGAAUUCCUUAAAGUGGCUUAUGUUUAUUGUCUUUGGCAAGAAUGGCGAGACAAUCAAGACCUGGCAUCUGUUUUGUUGUCGGGUGCAUGGCUGCUGCUCCAAGUGUUUAUACCCUCCAUGUAAUGGAGAGACAGAAGUUCCAGGUUGGAAGAUGGGGUUUUCAAGUUGUAUCCAUCCAAGCUUGAAUAGGAGGCGAAUUGGGUUAUGCAAGGAACAUUUAAAAGAUUUGUAUCCUGGCCAUAUAUAUCGCUCCAAUAUAUUGAUGGAGAAGUAUGCACAGUUGAAGAUGAAGCUAGCCAAUGUGACCACAGAAAAGAAGAUGAUGGAGAGGGGCAUUUUAGUCUAUUUACUUUCAUAAGAAAUAUAAAUUUUGUAAUGUAAGGGUAAAAUGGUAAAAUCACAUGUGACUGAAAGUAUGAAUUCUAAUUGUAUAUUGAAAGAAAUAUAUUUCUUGCAUGUGAUAAUUAAAAAUUAAAUAUAUUUGUUUACAUUAAUCUUUUAGAUUGUUUCUAUCUACUGAUUGGACUUGUGUCCUGCCCUUACUUGCAUCCAACUAAUCUUACAUAUUUAUAUAGUUGUUGGUGACGUUUGACAUCUUUUGUCAUCCAAUAUUUUAUUCUGUGAUAGAACAUUACCCUAAUGUAGAGUAAACAAUGGAUGAGUUAGUUGAUGACUUGCCAUAGCAGCAAUCAUUGAACAAUUAUUUUCAUGUGCUUUUAUUCUGCCAAAAAAUAUCAUAAUUUUUUAAUUUAUACAAUGAAAGGAAAUUUUUAAUAUUACUUAUAGGUAAAAAGAAACUAUGCUUGUUGAAUUCUUAUUAUAUAUAUACAUAUUUAUAUAUAAUGGAAGCAAUAAGAAUAGAGCAACUCUGAGAUAUUUAGACUUGUUAGAAUGUGUGAGAUUUUUCUGAUGUGAUCUUUUACAGUCCAAUUCUAGAAAUUAUGGUGAAGAAAUCUAAUGAUUCUAACAUAGUAUCAGAGUUGUUUUCUUAAGGGUUGUGGAUAUAAUCUCUUGUUUUUUUCUUUGUUCGUGGGGAUUAAACAUUGUGUGUUUGAGAGAAAACAAGUCAGCCAUCCUUUCACUAAAUCAAAAAUUUGAAAGUUGUUUGUUAUGGCAUCAGGAAGCUUCUCUGCAGUUGGUCCUUCAGUUUUUUCUGGUGAGAAUUAUCAAAUGUGGGCUAUUAAAAUGAAGACCUACGUGAAAGCUCUCAACCCGUGGGAUGUAGUAGAGCAAGGAGUAACACAUGUUUCACCUUUGAGAGAAAAUGCUACCUUGAAUGAAAUCAAGAAGCAUGAGGAGCUGGUUACCAAGAGUCCCAAGGCACUUAUAUGUCUUCAUUCUGCAGUAUCAGAAGUUAUUUUUGCAAGGAUAGUGGCCUGUGAAACAACAAAGGAGGCAUGGGACAAAUUGAAACAAGAAUUUAAGGGAAGUGACAGGGUUAAGGUAGUCAGGCUUUUGACUCUUAAGAGAGUUUGAACUCUUGAAAAUGAAGGAAUCUGAAGAUGUUAAAGAUUAUGCUGCUAAACUUAUGAAAAUAGUUAAUCAGAUUGGAUUCUAUGGUGAGUCUAUUUCAGAUUAAAAGGUGGUGGAAAAGAUCAUGGUAAGCCUCCCUAAUAAGUUUUGAGUCUAAGAUUUCAGCUAUAGAAGAAUUGUGUGACUUGAGGACUCUUACUGUUGCAGAACUUAUCUCUAAGCUACAGGCACAAGAGCAAAGAGUCUCAAUGAGGUCUGAAGAUGUUAUUGAAGGAGCCUUCCAAGCUCUCCAAGCAAAGCAUAAGGGAAAAGCUCCACUAAGAAUAAAGGAAGGGCAAGACGAAAAUAGAGAUGGUUAUGGGAAAAGAAAAUUUCCGCCUUGUGGAACUUGUGGAAAGAUAAAUCAAGCUGAAGAUAGAUGCUAAAGAAACGUUCAAUGCAAUUUUUGUAAGAAGCAAGGUCAUAUAGAAAGAUUUUGCAGAGCAAAACAAAAUCAAACUCAACAGCAACCUAUCCAACAACCUAUUCAGCUAGCCAAUUUCAUUGAUGAACAACCACAACCUGAAGAAUAUCUAGUUUUUGCAUCUCAAGUUUGUGAGUCACCAGAAAAAUACAUUUGGAGUGUUGACAGUGAUUGCAACAACCAUAUGACCAAAGAUGCAAGCUUCUUUAAGUUCUCGGAUAGAUUAAUCAAAACCAAAGUCAUAAUGGGAAAUGGAGAGGUUGUACAAGGUGAAGGAAAAGGUUCAAUUGCACUCCAGACAAAGGUAUGAAACUUAUUUCAGAUGUUUUGUUUAUACCAAAGCUUGAGCAAAAUCUUCUUAGUGUUGCACAAUUGAUAAAUAAGGAAAAUUCUGUGGUAUUUCAAAGAAAUCUCUGCAUUAUAUUUGAUUCACAUGGUUGCAAGAUUGCAGAAGCAAGAAUGGAAAAUAAUAGCUUUGUCUUGAAUUUGAAAUCUGAUGUAUUUUGUACUGGAAGUGAUAUGGUAGCUAGUCAAGACAGAACUGCAGAGGAAAAGAAAAGGUUGGAGAAAACUGAUUCUGCAGAUGCUGGAAAAAAAAUUGAGCAUUGUAUUGCUUUGCAAUCUUAUUUCAGAUGUUAAUAGUCCGAAAUUAGAUGUUUAGAGUAAAUCAAUUAAGGAGGAGUUUAAGAUGAGUAAAUCAAGUUCCAUUCCAUGACAUUAGUUUGUGAUAAAAAUGUGUCAAAAGUUAAGGUUGAAAAGCUGAUUGUUCCUCCAAGAGCUAAUCGAGUAAUUUGGUCCAAGAAGAGUUCAUCAAAUGUGAGAUUGAAUCAAGCUGGAGUUUCUCAACAUUUCAAUGGUGAAAAUUCUGCUAUUUCAUUUACUAAUCAUCAGGAGGAGUGUUAGAACGUGUGAGAUUUUUCUAAUGUGAUCUUUUGCAAUCCAAUUCCAUAAAUUAUGGUGAAGAAAUAUAGUGAAUGUGUGUAUGUUCUUAAAUCUAGGAAUGUUGUCUAAAUAAAGAAAUGCUUUAGUUGUUGUAUUAGGUAGAUCUUGUCAAUCAAUCAGCUGCUAUAUAUAGCAACAUUUGUUAAUGAAAAAUUGAGAGAAAAGUGUGUUGAAUUUU